rnacentral:misc_RNA from 1 species
CGCACAUUGCGCUCCCUAGUAUUCUGGGGAGCAUGCCUGUUCGAGCGUCAUUUCGACCCUCAAGUCAAGAUACUUGGUGUUGGGGCCCGCCGUGGCUGGCCCUGGAACGUAUCGGCAGGGCUCGUGAGCAGUCUGAGCGUAGUAGAUAACCUCGCUUCUGGAGGCUCGCUGUCCCUAGCCGUAAAACUACAACCUAAAGUUUGACCUCGGAUCAGGUAGGAAUACCCGCUGAACUUAA